ANGUUAGCAUUUAUNCNGNGAANCUGCNAGGNUCNUUAAAUCAUUUAUCGUUUAUUUGAUAGUUCCUUUACUACAUGGAAUAACUGUGGUAAUUCUAAAGCUAAUACAUGCUUAAAAUCUCGACCCUUUGGAAGAGAUGUAUUUAUUANAUAAAAAAUCAAUGUCUUCGGACUCUUUGAUGAUUCAUAAUAACUUUUCAAAUCGCAUGGCCUUGUGCUGGCGAUGGUUCAUUCAAAUUUCUGCCCUAUCAACUUUCGAUGGUAGGAUAGUGGCCUACCAUGGUUUCAACGGGUAACGGGGAAUAAGGGUUCGAUUCCGGAGAGGGAGCCUGANAAACGGCUACCACAUCCAAGGAAGGCAGCAGGCGCGCAAAUUACCCAAUCCUAAUUCAGGGAGGUAGUGACAAUAAAUAACGAUACAGGGCCCAUUCGGGUCUUGUAAUUGGAAUGAGUACAAUGUAAAUACCUUAACGAGGAACAAUUGGAGGGCAAGUCUGGUGCCAGCAGCCGCGGUAAUUCCAGCUCCAAUAGCGUAUAUUAAAGUUGUUGCAGUUAAAAAGCUCGUAGUUGAACUUUGGGCCCGGUUGGCCGGUCCGAUUUUUUCGUGUACUGGAUUUCCAACGGGGCCUUUCCUUCUGGCUAACCUUGAGUCCUUGUGGNUCUUGGCGAACCAGGACUUUUACUUUGAAAAAAUUAAAGUGUUCAAAGCAGGCGUAUUGCUCGAAUAUAUUAGCAUGGAAUAAUAGAAUAGGACGUUUGGUUCUAUUUUGUUGGUUUCUAGGACCAUCGUAAUGAUUAAUAGGGACGGUCGGGGGCAUCAGUAUUCAAUUGUCAGANGUGAAAUUCUUGGANUUAUUGAANACUAACUACUGCGAAAGCAUUUGCCAAGGACGUUUUUUNANUCAAGAACNAAAUUAGGGGAUCGAAGAUGAUCANAUACCGUCGUACNUAANCNAUAAACUAUGCCNACUAGGGAUCGNGGNUUUUUUANGGNCCCNCUCNCCCCUUNCNAAAAAUCAAAGUCUUGGGNGGGGGANUGGUCNCAGGCNAUUAAANGANUANGGAANGNCNCACCCNGANGGGNANCNUNCCGGCNGGAANGNUNAGNANUNGGCNUUNGGGGGAAU
rnacentral:rRNA from 1 species